rnacentral:rRNA from 1 species
UACAGGGGGGGCAAGCGUUGUUCGGAAUUACUGGGCGUAAAGGGCUCGUAGGCGGCCAACUAAGUCACACGUGAAAUCCCCAGGCUUAACCCGGGAACUGCGUGUGAUACUGGAUGGCUUGAAUCCGGGAGAGGGAUGCGGAAUUCCAGGUGUAGCGGUGAAAUGCGUAGAUAUCUGGAGGAACACCGGUGGCGAAGGCGGCAUCCUGGACCGGUAUUGACGCUGAUGAGCGAAAGCCAGGGGAGCAAACGGG